CCCUUAGAUGUUCUGGGCCGCACGCGCGCUACACUGACGAUGGCAACGAGUUUUUCCUUCGCCGAAAGGUGUGGGUAAUCUUUUGAAACAUCGUCGUGCUGGGGAUAGAUCAUUGCAAUUUUUGAUCUUGAACGAGGAAUUCCUAGUAAGCGCGAGUCAUCAGCUCGCGUUGAUUACGUCCCUGCCCUUUGUACACACCGCCCGUCGCUACUACCGAUUGAAUGGUUUAGUGAGGACUCCUGAUAGGCGCCGCCGCCCCGGCAACGGAGCAGCGGACUGCCGAAAAGUUGUUCAAACUUGAUCAUUUAGAGGAAGUAAAAGUCGUAACA
rnacentral:rRNA from 1 species